UCACCGGUGGGAGGGGGGGUGUGGAGGGGCACGAGGGGUCUGGAAAAGCUCCGAUUUCCCCCAGCACUGGGGCUGGCUCCCCUCAGUGUGUAAUUCACCCCAUGCUGUGUUCCUGGUUCCUGGCAGUUUUCCCCCUGCUGACUGUGGAUAAAUCCUUCCCACGUCUCCAGCCCUCCGUCCCACAAGGUCUCUCGGUGUCGCGCGGUCAGAGGCUGUUUGUCCUGUCCUUGGGUAGCAUCUCCUGCCCUUAAGAACUCGAUGCUGCAAAUAGUCUUAGAUGAUGAUUAAUGAGCGCUUAUAUAACUGAGCUGAGUCCUUAAUGCAGCCGGGAGGGUGACAGGAGGGAAGGUGGGAGCAACAAACUGCACGUCACUGCAGCUGCUGCUGCUUUUCCCACACCGGAGCAGCCACAUCCCGCACGGGGGGAUGCUGGAGGGAGAGCCCCCCACGGGGCAGCAGCUGGGGCAGCCCCCACCUGGGUUUCCCAGGCAGGUUUGGAUGCCAUGGCAUGGCCAGGCCCUCCAGCACGGCAGAGCUGGCAGGGGAAGGGUUUAUGCUGGUAAAACAUCGCUGUGUGACAUUGUCUGGAAUGUUGUGCUGAUGCCGGCGAGCUGGGAGUGCUGGAAAAGGGUCCAAAUCCCACAGCAACACCUGACUGUGGCCCACGUGGGGUGAGAGGGCUGCUGCCAGAGCCGCUGGGUGCUGGGUGCAGUCGUUUCUAAAUUUGGCUGUGUUUGGGCAGGUAGGGAUGGCCUGACACACGGGAUUUGGUUUUCCAUAAUCUGGCUGGGAAGCACCAGCCCUGAUAAAUCUGCUGCUCAGCGCCAAGGCACUUCCAUGGUUGCCAUGGUUACCACAUGCUUAUUUUCACCAUCUUCCUCACCUCAGCCGGGGUGCACCGGCAUUCCCAGCCCCGAAUCCCCCCUCACCUCGGCUCAUUUCCUAAUACUCUGGUUUGGGUAUCCCAACGCUGCUGUGCAUCCCAGCUCUUUGCUGUGCACCCGAUCCCCCUGCUCCCUGUGCCUCCAAUCCCCCUGCUCUCGGUGGAUCCAAUCCCCCCAUGACUGCAGAUCCAAUUCCCCCACUCCCUGUGGCUUCAAUCCCCCCACUCACUAUGGAUCUGAUUCCUGUGGAUCCAGUCCCCCAUUCCCUGUGGCUUUGUCCUACAACUGGGUAAAUCCCAGUCACAGGAACUGGCCGAGGGAAGCGCAGCAGCCCCGGCUCCUCGCCAUGGCAACGGCAGGAUUGCGUCAGGGCUUUUCUUUCCAACUGCAAAGCUGGAUGAGCAACUCCCUCAGGGACAGGAGUAAGGGAGAAGGGAAUAUUCUUUUUCCCGGGGGCUUUGGGACUGCCAGUUCCCAAACUCAGCCCCGGCUCAGUGUUUUGCUCCUUGCUCCUGGGUCCAGGGCUGCGAUGGGACAGUGCAUGGUCAAACAGGGCUGAGACGCCGGGGACAGGGAGGGUUCCUGUGCCGGGGACAGUGAGAAUUCCCGUGCUGGGGACAGUGAGUGCUCCUGUGCCAGAAAGGCUCCGUGUGCCUUCCCCACACUGUGGCAUCUCUGCUUGUGGCACAGGCUGAGCUUGCAGGGAGGCGGGGAAGGAGCCGGAGGUUUGGUGAUGGAUGGCUGCUUCAGUCCAGCCUCGCGUUCCCACUUUCCCUGCAGCCCCAGCAAAAACAAAGGGAGAGAAGGCGGCUCUUCUGCUGUUCAGGAUGUGCUGGGCCUCGCUGGGCCAUGCUGGGCUCUGCUGUGCCCCGGUGCAGGAGGGUGGUCCUGGGGGCUCCCCAGGGCCCAGGGGGAAGAACGCGGUGCCAGAGCCUGGAGCAGGCGUGGGCUCGUGGAUGGUUGUGCUCCCUCCCAGCCCUGGGUAAGGCACAGCCCCAGAGCAGAGACACCCAGCGCUGUCCCUGGCGCUCGGGCACCCUCUGCCCCAUCCUCCCUCCCGGCGCUCCCCUCCCGGGAGGAGCUGCUCUGGGAUUUGGGAACCUCAUCAGAGUGGUGCCCGGGGCGGGGGCUGCCCUUGGCUCCUGAGCAGGUGCCAGGGCUGCCGAGCAGGUUUGGGCUCCUGCGCAGCUCUGGGCAGUUCCGUGUGCCCUGGAAAGAGGCCAGGAGUGCAAAGACUGGGAAAGGUCCCUACAAACACCACAGCAAGUGCUGCUCAGUGAGGACCCUCAGAGAAAACACUCACAGGUGAGCUGCUUGCCAUCCUGAUCCCAGCACCUCUUCCAGCUGGAGCCCGUGGGAUGUGCAGAGAUGUCCCUGAGCCCCUCGGGCAGGUGGCACAGGGCUGCUGCAGCCCCUGUGUGCAGCCUGCUCAUGGAAUACCCUGCACUGGAAGAGACCCACGAGGAUCAUCGAGGCCACGGCUGACGUGACACACACCGUGUCUGAUGCCCUGGGUCAGGAACGAGCAGAUCUGGAGCACGGAAAGCUCCUGGGAGCUGUGGAAUUGGGGCAGGAGCGUGGUUUCCUUGGUCCAGCUCUCGUCGUUCCACUGGGUAACUCUGUCAGUGCCAAAGCAAAGGCACCAACACACCCAGGUGAGACCAAAGUCACCCUUUUGGGACAAAUCCAGCCAGGGCUGCAAUCUCCAUUCCCUGUCACAGGAGCUGCUCUGCUCCCACGAGCCUUUCAUCCCGCCGGGACUCGGAUUCCUCUGGAGCCGCAAAGGCUCACAGUGUUAUUCUCGUAACAUCCGACCUGCCUGGCUUCGUGCGAGGAGUCAAAACCCCGUGAAUCCUGGUGUUUGUCCCUUGAGUUUGCAGCAGGGAUGGUGUUGGGCUGGCAGCUCCUCCCAGGUGGCUGGUGGCUCUGUGCAUCAAGGUCGCUUUAUCUGCCCUCAGCACGGGCCAGAAAGCUCAUGUUAAUGGGUCGCUAAUUUAAUCAAAGUGCAGGGCUGGGAUCUUUUUUCCCUCUUGAAGGGCAGAAAUCAAUUUGCAAUGACAGCGGAUGCACCUCCUCGCUCCUCCAGGCUCCUGACAGACCACUCAAAAUUAGCCCCACACAAAAUUAGGUGGAAUUAAAAAAACCCACCAGACUUAUUCAGUAAUUCAGACCCAGAAUUUAAAAUUGAAAUGCCCGUCUCAAACCAGCAAUCACUUUUCUCAUUUGCAUAAAAUACUGUACUACUUUCUCCUUCUAUUUGCAGUUUCAUCCCGUUUUUAACUCUUGCUCUUUGCAUAUUUACAGAAUCAUGGAAUAUUCUGAGUUGGAAGGGACUCACAAGGAAGUCCAACUCCUGUUACAGAUGUUUUCUUCUUUACUGCAGAAUAUAUCAGAUACAAUUAAUUAUAUAUAUAAAAAUGUAAAUUAUCAUUAUUCAGUGUUGUUAAUUUGCUCUCAGGACUGAAAAGUGAGUAAAUUUUUUCACAGUAAGAAAUAAUAAUAAUAAUAAUAAUAAUAAUAAUAUUGUCUUGAUCUUGGGCUUUUUUAGGUGUUUUUGAGCACUUUGGUGGCACCGUCCCACCCCUGCAGGCCUGUGUGCUCAGAGAAACCACUGAUGGGGUUUCGUAAUUACUGUAUGCGUUGUUUACAAACAGCCCUUUUCCUGCAAAUCCCGAAGGUGUAGCAACAAAUCAGGGGGGAAAAGGCCAGUUUCCGUGCUCUGGGAGGGAUGGAAUGGACGCUCCCUGCUUGGACAGAGCAAUCACAGGCAGAUUUCUUUGCAUCUCCCUGCGGUUUGUUUUUCUCUGUCUCAGCGCUCGGUUUGGAAAUCAAUCACCGAAGAGUCCUUA